GUCAUCGAAUUGGAAUCGUACGGGUUUAUGGUUCGAAUUCAAGUUCAUGUUCUGAUAUCGAUGAAGCUGACCUUGCGCAACGUUCAAUUAGGGGCGAGAUUUUUUUUUUUUUUAUGAGUCACAUUUCAAUAAUUACGAGCUUAGACAUUAGAUGUUCCCAUGUGCAGCAGGCCUCGGGUAUUUUUUUGUCCAUGUGCGCCUGCCCAAGUCCAAAUUGCGUGCGCUUUAAACGGGUUGCAGUCUUUUGGGGCGGAAACAUAAAUAAAACAUCAAUCAAAGUUUAUCUUGUAGGUUUUGGCCCGGGAAAAAAAAAAAAAGAAAUAAAAUACAAACAUUGAAGACUCCUUCAGCGACUUGAAAGAGGCCAGCGCUGGAUGUAAAAAUCAUCUGCUUUCUGCCGCAUUUUGAUGCUUUAUGAUGCGUCUCUUUGAGUUCUGCGAAACGUCUUUGUGGGCCUCCUCUCGUCUCGUCUGGUCUCUCGCCCACUCGCGUCACCUCUGAACUCGUCUCGUUUUGCUGGAACCGACGCGGUUUACCUGCUGGCGGCCAUUGUACCCAAUCGAGGCGCUUCCCCUUCGGGUUGCGGUCUCGUUGGCAUCUUCGCCUCGCGACGGAGGUUCCACAAAAGAGGCGUAAUGAGCCACGUUCGGCAGGCGAGCUCGACGUGGGCGUACGCCGUCGCGGGCCGCAGAUAAGCCGCCGCACGUUUUGCCUUUUCCCGACGUUUGACGGGCAUUGUGUGGAGGCUUUUUGCCGAUUAUUGUCAAGUUAGCGACGUUGGCGAUCUCCAGAUGGGAAGAACCUGGAACGCCGGCGCUGUCGUCGCUUGAUAGCCGCAGACAAAACAUCCGCCGCCGAGCUGUCAGAUUUCAAGUUAAGCCGUCGGCGCCAAUUUGAGUCUUAUUUUCACCUCGACUUUGAUCUUUUCCCACGGUAUCGAUAUGGCAACGUGUCGAUUGUCUUGCAAAAUCCUGCCGUCUUUCACCACCUUAUAUUCAAAUGCAUCAAUACUUCCGAAAAACAUAUUCAGAACAGUAGCGGCGUGUUUCAAGAUGAGAUUAAAUCCUUAGAAUGGCUUUUAUUUGCACAGGCAUGAACACAUUGAGAAUGCGACAUUCUGUUCCAAAAUAAAAUCUAGAAAAAUAGAAAAGUCUUUGAUAAGAAGUGACGCCAAAACCAGACGUUGAAUGUUAAACCGAAAAAAAAAAAAAAAAUCGAAUCUGAGAAGUUGUGUCGGUCCGUCGACGAAUCCAGGCCAGAAAAAUUGUCCCGACGGCAUCCGUAGUACGCUGAGUAGGUCGACAAUCUGGCAACAUUGAUUGGUUAUCAUACGCGCGUGCUAUAUGGUUGCACUCGACUGGCGACUUUGAAAUCUCGUUUCUUCACCGUAUGGUGGUUUGGAUUUUGGUUGCGAUUGAACACCCGACCGAGUCCAAGUGCAAAGUCCGCCAGCUAAAUGGACCGAACGCAAAGUAUACGUUGAAGGGUUUCACGUUUCAUAGGCGACUCCGCGCAUCCGUGCAUUAUCUAUACGUCGUAAGAGCUAUUGAUUGCUUCUUUCUUGAAGUUCACCUUUGGAGUGCUCGACUCGCUCAAACAACAAACUUGACUAUCAUCAUCAUCAUCAUCAUCUUCGUGGAAAUGCUCGUGAGUCUCCAACUUUUUUAUGCUAACAAGAUGGAAACUUUUGUCGCUCGUAAAAGCCGAUUUUCCAGGCCGCGGCGCUCGUACAAAGUCGUGCUGUGUCUGGGCCAGCGCAGAUGUUGCUGUUGUGUCUCUUGGAUCUCUGAGUGGCUUUUGUGUUUUGUCUUUGCGGCAGCUGCCGCCGCCGCUUCUGGACCGCUUAGCCCACGUCCGUUGGAGAGGCCGCAGGACCGCCGCGCGAGACCGACGUCCACGCUGGACCUGCUGGCUACGAGCCGUGUCCCCCCCCCUCCCCCAGGAAAGGCGCGCUGGACAAUCACAGUGGAAAAAUGCCAACGUCUCGGCCUGAGCUAAUUUCAGUCGGCCGAGAAGGAGGCGGGCGGCGUAAUUAAAGCCGCGCAGGUGCGCCCGUCGUCGUGACAAAAGGACGUCAAGAUGGAGGCCGUCGCGCGUUAGCCGCAUUCGUCAUGAUUAGCGCCAAGCAAAAAAAAAAAAAAAAAAAAAAAGUCCAUCUCCGGAUUCUUCCGAGGUCGUCGGGAAGAUUCCUCAUUGGGAUCGCGUCGGGAUCACGUCGUGUGACCUCCGACCUCUCGGUGUCGCCUUUGGACACAAUAUUAGGAACACCCGCACGGUCUCCGCCGAUUUGUCGGCGCGAAGAUUCCUUCGGUAAAAGAGAAUUGGGAAAAAUUUGGAAAUUGGAAGAGAAAAAAUAUGCUCAAAACAUCCGGUGGGAAAAAUUGCGAUUAUCUCACCAUAAUAUGUAUUAUUUUAAAUGAGAAGAACCUUUAUCGACAGAAAUAUUUGUCAGAUUUAAUAAUAGCCAUUAAAAUAAGCCAUUCUUUAUAAUAGUAAUGAAUCGUACAUUCUUUUAUUAUUAUUAUUAUUGUUUCAAUACUUAUGACUUUUUCCUGCAUUUGUUUUUUUAUUCAAUAUAUUUGUGAAAGUCUCUUUCAUGUAACUUAACACAGCAAAUUUUACGGAACAAUGCAGAGCGAAGAAAAAGUCCAAACAAAGCUAUUUUAUAUCCAGUAAUGUUGAGUCCUAAAAAUCGGUCAAUCUUAUUUUCUUUCGAAGCAUUUUCAACCAGACCACCUUUCCAUCCUUUGCCCCCCAGGGGCCCGCACACCGCACUUUGGGAAGCGACCAGAAAACAAUGUGAAGACAUUUAAAAAAAAAAAAAAGCAAAGCAAAGCGAUGACAUAGUAGAGCUGUAAAAAGCCGAUGAAUGCGCUGCUGUAUUUUUCUCUUUUCAUAUUAGCUUCCAAAAAUAAGAACAAGGCGGCCGCCUGCUGCCGAUCAAGCGGAGGAAAUUAUUACUCGCCUUUGGAAAAUGACAAAUCUUUCCCUCCACUGAAAAUAGCUCGGCAAUAAGACCUGAAGUUUUCCUCUUGCUAAGAGUUGAAUAUUAGCAGUUGCAGUGGUGGGAAUUGGAUCCAAACACGUCGCCCAACGUUGCAAUCCUUGCAAAAUGUGAGAGCUUCUCAUCGUGUUUGGAGUCGCUUCACGUCAGAAAAGCUCAUUUCUUUCCACAAUGUCCAAAAGCAGCUGUUUGCAUAUUUCAACGUGUACCGCAUACAAGUCAAAUCACUUUUCUUCAUUUUUAACAUGAACAAUGUGACACGAUACUGUGGAAUUCCAAUACAGUUGAGCGCAACUCGGAUGAAAUGCAAUUUAUCGGGAAUGGAUCCCGAUAUUUUGCACAAUCAUGUAGGCUGCGGGUCAUAUUUUUCAGGACAAAAUCAUUUACCACAUUCAUGCGGCGAGUCCAAUUCCGUCGCAUUAUUGCACGAUUGGCUCCCGGUUGCGAUGCGGUCCCGUUGGUUCCAAUCGCGAUGCGACAUAUUCCAAAUCGUUUGGAAUUUCGAUGCCGUCCAAUAGGACGUUGCCGCCAAUUGCGAUACAUUCCGGGCCGACUCGACAUUCCCCACAACUGCAAUGCGAUGCGAGAUGACAAAUUUGACUCCGAUUCCGAUCCAAUUCGAGACGUUCCGAUUCGCUCCAAUUGUGAUGCGAUGCAUUGAGGACACUGGCAAAUCUUGACAAUAUAACAAGUCGUGAUUUUGUUUGACGACGUGUCGCCGGUGAGGUGAAAAAUCGCGGCGAAGUCAUUUUUGACGUUGCAAGUGACAUAUUGCAAAAUGGUUGACGCCCAAACAAAGAUCUUUUAUUUGUGAAGAUGUCCUCGCUCACCUCAAAGCAUCGUCAUUUGAUUUUUGAUUUGAUUUUUUUUUUUUUUUUGAGUCCACCAGGCUUUUGGCACUCGCAGCAAAUUUUCACACCCCGCCCCCGCCGCUCUCCUUUCUCACUUCUCUCCAUCCGUCCCUCCCCCUCUCCUUCUCUGAGGUGCUGAUCAAUUCACAGCCUCCCUGCGAGGUGCGACCCCCCCCCCCCCCCCUUGCACCGCGUCUGUCCUCGCCCUCGCCACUUUUUGCCGAGGGGGGCGGGGCAAGAGCGCACCUGAAACAAAAGCUGCGCUGGCAAUGUUGAGCGGGGGCGGAUGUUAAUAAAGCGCGCCGCUAUGACCCGAUUGGUCGUUGCCGCAACGUUGAGAAUGGAUUUUGAGGACGAGUGGCGAUGGCGCAGAUCCAUCCUGGGGGCCGAGAACCGAGAAUCCGAGAACGUAGCCGUGCAUUCCAGGUUACUGGUAUUGCAAAACAUUUGAUUCCAAGUCCAAUACGGUGGUGUACGACAUGCAGUACUAUGCGACGUGGGCCCGUUCACUUGGAUCCCAGGUUCUGAGGUUCUACGUUCUACGUUCUGCUUGACUCCGAUGAUGACGCUGUCACCAUCGAAAGGUUCGGUGCAGAAAUGACGAUACGUUACGAAUAAUUCAAUCCACCUGCAAUAUGAUUCACUCCCAUUGCGAUGUUCCGAUUCACCCCAACCACACAUCGAUUAUGAUGUGCUGGGAGACGUUCUAAUCAUAAUUAACGAUUCACCCCAAGACAGACACCAGGCGAUGCGAGUCGCUUCAAUUGCAUCUGAUCCAAUAAAAUGCAAUAUGUUAUUAAUAGGCCGGAAUACGAUGUGACCCGACAUGUUAGGAUUGACCCCAAACAGAAAAGUCUCUUGUUCUUUGCCGGAGAAAAAUUCCUUUUGUGUGUUUUGACACACUUGGCCAUUCAAGAUGAUUGUGAUUCCGAUGCCUUACGUCACGAUUCACUCGACAGGAUACGAUCUUGCGCAUGACGUCACGAUUCUCCCCAGUCAGGUUACGAUACCGCACGCGAAUUGCCUUAUGAUCCAUUUUCACAUCAUCGGGCAGAAGGACGGUAAAAUCCGGCACAAUGCAGUACUGCACCGUGCCGCCAGGUUUAGGAGCGCACGUACACUUUUGUGUAUUUUUUUGGCCUUUUUUCACGUGUUCCCACCGCGUCUCCUUAAGUUAGCGACUUCGAGCGUGCAACGCCAAAGCAGACGUGAGAUGUUCUGACGUCUUUGUCUGCAGCGGCGCCAACGCCGAAUGCCGCACAAAUUGCUUUUUUUUUUUUUUUUUUUUUUUCCUCCCCCCCCCC